ACUACUAGGCAAGCUUCAUAAAUUAGAAAGAGAUGAAUUUUGGCUUUUCUCACAAAAUAGCAAUCUGAUGUAUAUGAGAGAAGGAUAGGAAGACGAAGAGAGCGAAAGUUCGACCUCGCACCUCUUUAAACUUUCAGCGAAAUCGGCACACCAAGUGUUUGUGGAAAGCUCUAAGAGAGAGAAACUUGAAGUCAGAAGGUAGAAGAAGCUCAUGAAUCUGUAAACCAUUGUGAAUGAUGAACCAACUGGAGGAGAUCAAACGUAGACGUCUCACUAUACAUACUAUCGGCCAGAUUUAGUUAGCUAUAUUAUAGUGAUCCGGUACUUGGUGGUUAGAAGGAAAAUGAUCUAUAUGUACUUAUUAGAAGUAUUUGUGGUACUAAAACAAAUAUUUAUUAGUUGGGUUUGAUUAAGUACAUUAAUUAUCAUUAA